UCAGAAUUGUCAGUAAAUUAUGAUCUACAAAUUCAACACUGAUCCUGUCCCUCACCCGUCCUCAGACUGCCUCAUCACCCCAACACACCUGGAGACCGUAGGCUUGACUGCUUAAGAGAACUGGCCUGUGCACCUAGACCUGUCUGUCUCCACUGCGAUCACCAUCGGAGGGCUGCCCGUCACCCCGCUGCCAGCUGCCAGCUGAGUCUCGAUCCGUCCAUGAAGACGAGGCUGUGCCACCAAGGUCGCAGCUGGCAUGAGUGCAAUCGGCACCACUGGGAAUCUGCAUCAUGGAAUUUUUUGAGAAUCCUGGAUGUACAGUACUGUUGGUCAACAGUGACAAAUAUCAUGUUAUUGUAACCUUGUUGCCAAGGAAACAUUGCUCCAGGGUAGGGUUUCCUUCUACAUGAGCUUUCUUCCUAGGUAGUGCUGAUUGUUUUACAUCUCUUGUAAAACACUUUGAGAUGUCUUGACAUUAAAUGCACUAUAAUUAUAUUUGCAGAUAGAUUAUUUGGUUGCUAAGACCGGGUUGUUAGAGUUGCUAUCUCAAGGUGAUUGUAGAGGUCUUGAACAUGCCUCACCAUUGACAUUGUGACAUUUUAACAUUUCAAAAUUGCUAGUAGUGCUUCUGUG
rnacentral:lncRNA from 1 species